rnacentral:tRNA from 1 species
UUAAUUGAAACCAAAAAGAGGUAUAUCACUGUUAAUGAUAAAAUUGAGCAAAACUCCGAUUAAG